rnacentral:rRNA from 1 species
GACGAACGCUGGCGGCGUGCCUAAUACAUGCAAGUCGAGCGAAGUUUUUCUGGUGCUUGCACUAGAAAAACUUAGCGGCGAACGGGUGAGUAACACGUAAAGAACCUGCCUCAUAGACUGGGACAACUAUUGGAAACGAUAGCUAAUACCGGAUAACAGUAUUUCUCGCAUGAGAGAUAUUUAAAAGUUGGUUAUGCUAACACUAUGAGAUGGCUUUGCGGUGCAUUAGCUAGUUGGUGGGGUAAAGGCCCACCAAGGCGACGAUGCAUAGCCGACCUGAGAGGGUGAUCGGCCACACUGGGACUGAGACACGGCCCAGACUCCUACGGGAGGCAGCAGUAGGGAAUCUUCCGCAAUGGGCGAAAGCCUGACGGAGCAACGCCGCGUGAGUGAAGAAGGAUUUCGGUUCGUAAAGCUCUGUUGUUAGGGAAGAAUGGAUAUGUAGUGACUAUACAUGUAAGAGACGGUACCUAACCAGAAAGCCACGGCUAACUACGUG